AGCAGCCGCGGUAAUUCCAGCUCCAAUAGCGUAUAUUAAAGUUGUUGCAGUUAAAAAGCUCGUAGUUGAAUUUCGGGAUCGAUACGUCGGUCGUGCCUUCGGUACGCACUGGCGUUUAUCGAUUUCUCCCUUCUGACGAACCAUGAUGUCAUUAAUUUGGUGUUAUGGGGAAUCAGGACUGUUACUUUGAAAAAAUUAGAGUGUUUAAAGCAGGCAUUAGCUUGAAUACAUUAGCAUGGAAUAAUGAAAUAGGACGUUCGAACCUAUUUUGUUGGUUUUUAGGAUCAACGUAAUGAUUAAUAGGGAUAGUUGGGGGCAUUAGUAUUCAAUUGUCAGAGGUGAAAUUCUUGGAUUUAUUGAAGACUAACUACUGCGAAAGCAUUUGCCAAGGAUGUUUUCAUUAAUCAAGAACGAAAGUUAGGGGAUCGAAGACGAUCAGAUACCGUCGUAGUCUUAACCAUAAACUAUGCCGACUAGGGAUCGGAUGAUGUUAAUUUUUAUGACUCAUUCGGCGCCUUAC
rnacentral:rRNA from 1 species